UUAUGAAAUAUAUUUUUUUUAUAAUUCUUUAUUUGGUAUUUCUUCAUCUCAUACAAUAUCUAUAUGCAUUUUUUUUUAUAAAGAAGAAUACAAUACAAGUUUAUUCAUUUUGACCUGUCAGUGUCAGUGCUUAUAAACAUCCCCCUCCCUAUACCAAAUAAACCCCCCUCCCCCCCCAAAAAAAAAACUAAAACUAAAAACAAACAAAAAAAAGAACAAUACAAAAACAAAAAGUACAAAAAACAAACAAACAAAAAAUAAAUAAAAUAAAAUAAAUAUAAAAAAUCAUUGACUUAUAUUCAUAAAUGAUUAAAUUGGUAUUAAACGAUUAUAAUUAUUAUUUAUGCAAUCUAAUUAUUCUAUUCAUACAUGUACUCAGAUCAUAAUAUAAUAUAUAUAGUGGCAUACUCUAACAAUAUCUGGAAAUCACAUAACAAAAAACAAAAACCAACCAGUAUUUCAACUCCUAUUAUCAUAACAUAGUAACACAUAUUUAAUUCUUCCAUACAUACAUAUAUAUAAUAUCUAUAUGAUGCACACUAACCACUGUCCAAUUGUGAUGUGCAUCAAGUUGUGUUACACAUUUAUUUU
rnacentral:lncRNA from 1 species